rnacentral:rRNA from 1 species
GGUUAAUACCGGAUGCUUGUUUGAACCGCAUGGUUCAAACAUAAAAGGUGGCUUCGGCUACCACUUACAGAUGGACCCGCGGCGCAUUAGAUAAUUGGUGAGGUAACAAUGAUUCUUAGCCGACCUGAGAGGGUGAUCGGCCACACUGGGACUGAAACACGGCCCAAACUCCUACGGGAGGCAACAGUAGGGAAUCUUCCGCUAUGUACGAAAGUCUGACGGAGCAACGCCGCGUGAGUGAUGAGGGUUUUCGGAUCGUAGAGCUCUGUUGUUAGGGAACAACAAGU